UACGGAGGGUGCAAGCGUUAAUCGGAAUUACUGGGCGUAAAGCGCACGCAGGUGGCUGAGAAAGUCGAUUGUGAAAGCCCUGGGCUUAACCUGGGAAUUGCAGUCGAAACUACUCGGCUAGAGUAUGGGAGAGGACAGUGGAAUUCCGGGUGUAGUGGUGGAAUGCGUAGAGAUCCGGAGGAACACCAGUGGCGAAGGCGGCUGCCUGGGCCUGGCCUGACGCUGAGGCGCGAAAGCGUGGGGAGCAAUCCGG
rnacentral:rRNA from 1 species